GUUUGUGUCGAGUGUAGAUUUGUGUCAACAUUCAGAUACAAUGGAAAAACUAUAGCAAAUUAGCACAAUGAUUUCCCACUACCUAUGGACAAAUUCUGUCCAAUAACUAAUAAAAUAUGUG